AUCGCUUCUCGGCCUUUUGACUAAGAUCAAGUGUAGUAUCUGUUCUUACCAGUUUAAAAAUUAACAGCCUUUGUAUUUUAACUAUUGUCUAAUGCUGAUUUGAGUCUGGUGUCUAUGAAUUACCGGUUAUGAUCCUGGUAGGCUGUAUUUCAUGUCUACCUCACACAUUCUAGGGAGAUGGAAGAUUUGUU
ensembl:snRNA U2 U2 spliceosomal RNA